rnacentral:rRNA from 1 species
UGGGGAAUUUUGCACAAUGGGGGAAACCCUGAUGCAGCGACGCCGCGUGAUUUAGAAGGCCUUCGGGUUGUAAAAAUCUUUUCUAUGGGAAGAAAAUGACAGUACCAUAGGAAUAAGGACCGGCUAAUUACGUGCCAGCAGCCGCGGUAAUACGUAAGGUCCGAGCGUUGUCCGGAAUCAUUGGUCGUAAAGGGUACGUAGGCGGGUAAGCAAGUUAGAAGUGAAAUCCUAUAGCUCAACUAUAGUAAGCUUUUAAAACUGCUCAUCUUGAGGUAUGGAAGGGAAAGUGGAAUUCCUAGUGUAGCGGUGAAAUGCGCAGAUAUUAGGAGGAAUACCGGUGGCGAAGGCGACUUUCUGGCCAUAACCUGACGCUGAGGUACGAAAGCGUGGGUAGCAAACAGG